AUUGAACGCUGGCGGCAGGCCUAACACAUGCAAGUCGAGCGGAUGAAGGGAGCUUGCUCCUGGAUUCAGCGGCGGACGGGUGAGUAAUGCCUAGGAAUCUGCCUGGUAGUGGGGGAUAACGUCCGGAAACGGGCGCUAAUACCGCAUACGUCCUGAGGGAGAAAGUGGGGGAUCUUCGGACCUCACGCUAUCAGAUGAGCCUAGGUCGGAUUAGCUAGUUGGUGGGGUAAAGGCCUACCAAGGCGACGAUCCGUAACUGGUCUGAGAGGAUGAUCAGUCACACUGGAACUGAAGCACGGUCCAGACCCCUACGGGAGGCAGCAGGGGGGAAUUUUGGACAAUGGGCGAAAGCCUGAUCCAGCCAUGCCGCGUGUGUGAAGAAGGUCUUCGGAUUGUAAAGCACUUUAAGUUGGGAGGAAGGGCAGUAAGUUAAUACCUUGCUGUUUUGACGUUACCAACAGAAUAAGCACCGGCUAACUUCGUG
rnacentral:rRNA from 1 species